UCUUUCCCCAACCAGCCCUCCCGGUUCAGUCAUGGUGUCUGAUGAGGCCUUGCUGUCCAGGGAGCCGCUGGCUCUGGAAAUGCAGCUGAGCAGCUUCAAGCU